CCACAGGCCGCGCCUUGCCCCAGACGGCUUAGCGGGAAGCAGCCUGCGAGGCGGGGCCGCCUGGUCUCAGACCAGCGCCUGGACACUGCUCCGCCCCGCUGUCCAUCUCAGAGCCACAGGCAAGAGCUGCAGGGUCUCACUGUAGUCCAAGCUGGACUUGAACUCACCAUGUUGCCCUGGCUGGCCUCGAACUUGUGGCGAUCCUCCUGCCUCAGCCUCUUGAGUGCUGAGAUUACAGGGCUCCCGGGCAUGCUUAGCAUGUGGAAGCCCUGAGACCACAGUCUGAGAAUCACAACCUGGAGAGACAGCAGGAAAACCUGCACACCAGUCAGCUGGUCCAAAUAAACUCCAACUAGCAUGGCAA